ACAGCAGUCGCCGCGGGAAUACAGAGGGUGCGAGCGUUAAUCGGAUUUACUGGGCGUAAAGCGUGCGUAGGCGGCUUUUUAAGUCGGAUGUGAAAUCCCUGAGCUUAACUUAGGAAUCGCAUUCGAUACUGGGAAGCUAGAGUAUGGGAGAGGAUGGUAGAAUUCCAGGUGUAGCGGUGAAAUGCGUAGAGAUCUGGAGGAAUACCGAUGGCGAAGGCAGCCAUCUGGCCUAAUACUGACGCUGAGGUACGAAAGCAUGGGGAGCAAACAGGAUUAGAUACCCGUGUAGUCCCUGUCUCUUAUAA
rnacentral:rRNA from 1 species